UCAUAUACCUGGCAGGGCAGAUACCAUGAUCACAAAGGUGGUUUUCCCAGGGCGAGGCUUAUCCGUCGCACUCGGGAUGUGCUGACCCCUGCGAUUCCCCCAAAUGUGGGAAACUCGACUGCAUAAUUUGUGGUAGUGGGGGACUGCAUUCGCGCUUUCCCCUG
rnacentral:snRNA from 1 species